rnacentral:rRNA from 1 species
GACGAACGCUGGCGGCGUGCUUAACACAUGCAAGUCGAACGGAAAGGCCUGCUUUCCCUUGUGGAUUGCGGGUACUCGAGUGGCGAACGGGUGAGUAACACGUGAGUGAUCUGCCCCCAACUUGGGUAUAAGCCUGGGAAACUGGGUCUAAUUCCCGAUAGGACUGCAGGGUGGUGCCUGUGGUGGAAAACGAUUUUCUAGUGGUUGGGGAUGAGCUCGCGGCCUAUCAGCUUGUUGGUGGGGUAAUGGCCUACCAAGGCGGCGACGGGUAGCCGGCCUGAGAGGGUGGACGGCCUCAUUGGGACUGAGAAACGGCCCAGACUCCUACGGGAGGCAGCAGUGGGGAAUAUUGGACAAUGGGCGGAAGCCUGAUGCAGCGACGCCGCGUGGGGGAUGACGGCCUUCGGGUUGUAAACUCCUUUCGACCGCGAGGAAGCCACCUGGUUGGAAGGGUGGUGACGGUAGUGGUAGAAGAAGCACCGGCUAACUACGUG